UUCCGUAGGGUGAACCUGCGGAAGGAUCAUUAACGAAUAUAAUUCGAGGGGUUGUCGCUGGCCUCGCUCGCUCGCGCGAGGCAUGUGCACGCUUCUUGUUUUUCAUAACUCUCACCUGUGCACCUAAUGUAGGAUGCCUCUCCUCCGGGAGGGGGGACCUAUGUCUUCAUAUACAUCUUCGUGUAGAAAGUCUUUGAAUGUUUACUAUCAUCGAGUCGCGACUUCUAGGAGACGCGAUUCUUUGAGAUAAAAGUUAUUACAACUUUCAGCAAUGGAUCUCUUGGCUCUCGCAUCGAUGAAGAACGCAGCGAAAAGCGAUAUGUAAUGUGAAUUGCAGAUCUACAGUGAAUCAUCGAAUCUUUGAACGCACCUUGCGCUCCUCGGUGUUCCGAGGAGCAUGCCUGUUUGAGUGUCAGUAAAUUCUCAACCCCUCUCGAUUAGCUUCGAGAGGGUGCUUGGAUAGUGGAGGUUGCCGGAGACUCGGAUUCGUCCAGGACUCGGGCUCUUCUGAAAUGCAUUGGCUUGCGGUCGACUUUCGACUAUGCUCGACAAGGCUUUCGGCGUGAUAAUGAUCGCCGUUCGCCGAAGCGCAUGACCGAAGGUUCCGUGCCUCUAAUACGUCGACCACUUAUUAUCUCUCCGGAGAGAACAGGGUCUUCCUUAUUGACUUUUGACCUCAAAUCAGGUAGGACUACCCGCUGAACUUAAGCAUAUCA
rnacentral:rRNA from 1 species